rnacentral:tRNA from 1 species
GCUUUGAUAGCUUAAACCCAAAGCACCGGUCUUGUAAACCGAAGAUUGUAGAAUAACUUCUACUCAAAGCU